AUUGAACGCUGGCGGCAUGCCUUACACAUGCAAGUCGAACGGUAACGGGCCUUCGGGUGCCGACGAGUGGCGAACGGGUGCGUAAUACAUCGGAACGUGCCCGAUCGUGGGGGAUAACGAGGCGAAAGCUUUGCUAAUACCUCAUACGAUCUACGGAUGAAAGCAGGGGACCGCAAGGCCUUGCGCGGACGGAGCGGCCGAUGGCAGAUUAGGUAGUUGGUGGGAUAAAAGCUUACCAAGCCGACGAUCUGUAGCUGGUCUGAGAGGAUGAUCAGCCACACUGGGACUGAGACACGGCCCAGACUCCUACGGGAGGCAGCAGUGGGGAAUUUUGGACAAUGGGCGCAAGCCUGAUCCAGCCAUGCCGCGUGAAGGAUGAAGGCCUUCGGGUUGUAAACUGCUUUUGUACGGAACGAAAAGCCUUCUUUUAAUACAGGAGGGUCAUGACGGUACCGUAAGAAUAAGCACCGGCUAACUACGUG
rnacentral:rRNA from 1 species